UAGAGACAAUCAUUACGGCGGUCUCAUACAGUAAUGUAUGAUGACAUGCUCAACUUAUAUCGGUGGAAUCCUUAGAAUUUCUACGCCAAUAGCGGAGAAGAAAAAAGGACAACCCCGAGGGAAAUAUUUUUUCUUUUUAAGAAAAGAAAUAUACCCGUAGAGACUGAAUGUUGAGCUCCUACUUUGUAGGAUGAAGUUACAGUCCAAUGCACACAGUAAUGUGUGA
rnacentral:ncRNA from 1 species